GGGGGGGGGGGGGGGGGGGGGGGGGAGGGGGGGGGCGGGGGGAGGGGCGCUGCUUUGGUGGGGUGCUCGAGUGGCGAACGGGUGAGUAACACGUGAGUACCCGGCCCUUGACUUUGGGAUAACUUCAGGAAACUGGGGCUAAUACCGGAUAGGAGCUCCUGCUGCAUGGUGGGGGUUGGAAAGUUUCGGCGGUUGGGGAUGGACUCGCGGCUUAUCAGCUUGUUGGUGGGGUAGUGGCUUACCAAGGCUUUGACGGGUAGCCGGCCUGAGAGGGUGACCGGCCACAUUGGGACUGAGAUACGGCCCAGACUCCUACGGGAGGCAGCAGUGGGGAAUAUUGCACAAUGGGCGGAAGCCUGAUGCAGCAACGCCGCGUGCGGGAUGACGGCCUUCGGGUUGUAAACCGCUUUCGCCUGUGACGAAGCGUGAGUGACGGUAAUGGGUAAAGAAGCACCGGCUAACUACGUG
rnacentral:rRNA from 1 species